rnacentral:pre_miRNA from 1 species
UCAACAUACGGACCGUCGGUCUACCGAGCAAUAUCAGCCGCUCGGUGGAAGAUCUUUCCUUUAGUCUA